rnacentral:rRNA from 1 species
CACGUAGGGUGCGAGCGUUGUCCGGAAUUAUUGGGCGUAAAGAGCUCGUAGGCGGUGUGUCGCGUCGGCCGUGAAAACCUGCAGCUUAACUGUGGGCUUGCGGUCGAUACGGGCAUCACUGGAGUUCGGCAGGGGAGACUGGAAUUCCUGGUGUAGCGGUGAAACGCGCAGAUAUCAGGAGGAACACCGGUGGCGAAGGCGGGUCUCUGGGCCGAUACUGACGCUGAGGAGCGAAAGCGUGGGGAGCGAACAGG